rnacentral:rRNA from 1 species
AGUGAACGCUGGCGGUAGGCCUAACACAUGCAAGUCGAACGGCAGCACAGUAAGAGCUUGCUCUUACGGGUGGCGAGUGGCGGACGGGUGAGGAAUACAUAGGAAUCUACUUUUUCGUGGGGGAUAACGUAGGGAAACUUAUGCUAAUACCGCAUACGACCUACGGGUGAAAGCAGGGGAUCUUCGGACCUUGCGCGAUUGAUUGAGCCGAUGUCGGAUUAGCUAGUUGGCGGGGUAAAGGCCCACCAAGGCGACGAUCCGUAGCUGGUCUGAGAGGAUGAUCAGCCACACUGGAACUGGGACACGGUCCAGACUCCUACGGGAGGCAGCAGUGGGGAAUAUUGGACAAUGGGCGCAAGCCUGAUCCAGCCAUACCGCGUGAGUGAAGAAGGCCUUCGGGUUGUAAAGCCCUUUUGUUGGGAAAGAAAAGCAGCAGGUUAAUACCCCGCUGUUCUGACGGUACCCAAAGAAUAAGCACCGGCUAACUUCGUG